rnacentral:rRNA from 1 species
GACGAACCGAGCGAACGUUGUUCGGAAUCACCGGGCUUAAAGGGCGCGUAGGCGGGGUCAUAAGUCUGUGGUGAAAUCCUCCGGCUCAACCGGAGAACUGCCUCGGAUACUGUGGCUCUCGAGGGUGGUAGGGGUAUGCGGAACUAUCGGUGGAGCGGUGAAAUGCGUUGAUAUCGAUAGGAACUCCGGUGGCGAAGGCGGCAUACUGGACCACUUCUGACGCUGAGGCGCGAAAGCCAGGGGAGCAAACGGG